ensembl:snoRNA SNORA62 Small nucleolar RNA SNORA62/SNORA6 family
CGUGCAACUGUUAGUGCUUGGAGCUGAGGCCACUGCGGGUCAUGACCUCACAAGUGUAGGUAGUGUGCCAGGUGAGGGGAGAGUUCUUCCCUGACACUACAUGAGUUUCCAGCCCCAUGAAUGGAGUUUACUAGUAAUCCUUGUUAUAAGA